rnacentral:misc_RNA from 1 species
GAUGAAGAACGCAGUGAAAUGCGAUACGUAGUGUGAAUUGCAGAAUUCAGUGAAUCAUCGAAUCUUUGAACGCACAUUGCACCUCUCGGUAUUCCGGGAGGUAUGCCUGUUCGAGCGUCAUUUGUACCCUCAAGCUCUGCUUGGUGUUGGGUGUUUGUUCCGCCUCUGUGUGUGAACUCGCCUCAAAACAAUUGGCAGCCGGCGUACUUGUUUCGGAGCGCAGCACAUUUUGCGAUCCAGAUCAACGUACAGCGGCAUCCAAGAAGCCUUAUUUAACGCUCUUGACCUCGGAUCAGGUAGGGAUACCCGCUGAACUUAAGCAUAUCAAUAAGCGGAGG